rnacentral:rRNA from 1 species
UACGUAGGGUGCGAGCGUUUGUCCGGAAUUAUUGGGCGUAAAGGGGCUCGUAGGCGGUUUGUCGCGUCGGGAGUGAAAUCCACUGGCUUAACUGGUGGCUUGCUUUCGAUACGGGCAGACUGGAGGUAUGCAGGGGGAGAACGAAUUCCUGGUGUAGCGGUGAAAUGCGCAGAUAUCAGGAGGAACACCGGUGGCGAAGGCGGUUCUCUGGGCAUGUCCUGACGCUGAGGAGCGAAAGUGUGGGGAGCGAACAGG